AUUGAACGCUGGCGGCAUGCCUAACACAUGCAAGUCGAGCGGAUGAAGGGAGCUUGCUCCUGGAUUCAGCGGCGGACGGGUGAGUAAUGCCUAGGAAUCUGCCUUGUCGUGGGGGAUAACGUCCUGAAACGGGCGCUAAUACCGCAUACGUCCUGAUGUAGAAAUUGGGGGAUCUUCGGAUCUCACGCUAUCAUAUUAGCCUAGGUCGGAUUAGCUAGUUGGUGGGGUAAAGGCCUACCAAGGCGACGAUCCGUAACUGGUCUGAGAGGAUGAUCAGUCACACUGGAACUGAGACACGGUCCAGACUCCUACGGGAGGAAGCAGUGGGGAAUAUUGGACAAUGGGCGAAAGCCUGAUCCAGCAAUGCCGCGUGUGUGAAGAAGGUCUUCGGAUUGUAAAGCACUGUAAGUUGGGAGGAAGGGCAGUAAGUUUAUACCUUGCUGUUUUGACGGUACCAACAGAAUAAGCACCGGCUAACUUCGUG
rnacentral:rRNA from 1 species